rnacentral:lncRNA from 1 species
CUGCACAUUUGACAUCUUCCUGUACAGCAUCCACACCACAGUUUCUUAAAGAGUUGAGAUGAUCUUGCACUUUAACACAUAUUCUGUCAAUCAUCUGCUGAGUAGUGCUAGUAACAAUGCCUUGCUGCAACCGGUAUGCUUGCUCCUGUAGGUACUUUCUGGUCUCAUGAUUACGAAGCAAGUAGUUUUCUAUCUUUUGCAGUGCCUCUUCU